UCGACUGCUAUUUGGGUGAGAAUAAGCCAUGCGAGUUGAAUGGGAUACCUAAAGUUCCCAUAGCAAACUGCUCAGUAACACAUGAUCAACUUACCCUAUAGAGAAAAAUAACCUCGGGAAACUGAGGAUAAUGUUUCAUAGUUGAAAAGGCUUGGAAAAGUUUUUCGACCAAAGGGAUAAGAAAAAUGGUUUUUAUCCGCUAUAGGAUAGGAUCGUGGUCGAUUAUGGUCGUUGGUGAGGUAAUGGCUCACCAAGCCGAUAAUCGAUAGGGGCCGGGAGAGCGGGAGCCCCGAGAUGGGUACUGAGACAGCGACCCAGGCCUUACGAGGCGCAGCAGGCGCGGAACCUCCGCAAUACACGAAAGUGUGACGGGGUUACCCAAAGUGUUCAAUUUUGAACUGUGGUAGGUGAGUAAUGUUCCCUACUAGAAAGGAGAGGGCAAGGCUGGUGCCAGCCGCCGCGGUAAAACCAGCUCUUCAAGUGGUCGGGAUAAUUAUUGGGCUUAAAGUGUCCGUAGCCGGUUUAGUAAGUUCCUGAUAAAAUCGGGUAGCUUAACUAUCUGUAUGCUAGGAAUACUGCUAUACUAGAGGACGGGAGAGGUCUGAGGUACUACAGGGGUAGGGGUGAAAUCUUAUAAUCCUUGUAGGACCACCAGUGGCGAAGGCGUCAGACUGGAACGUGCCUGACGGUGAGGGACGAAAGCCAGGGGAGCGAACCGGAUUAGAUACCCGGGUAGUCCUGGCCGCAAACGAUGCAUACUAGGUGAUGGCAUGGCCAUGAGCCGUGUCAGUGCCGUAGGGAAACCGUUAAGUGUGCCGCCUGGGAAGUACGGUCGCAAGGCUAAAAC
rnacentral:rRNA from 1 species